UUCAAACGGAUCUUUAUUAAAAAUAAAAACUUUUUCGAUCGUUAAUUAACCACUGGCAAUAAUAACGCCACUAUUCCGAUUUUUAUCGAUGCUUUUCUCCGGACGACAAAGUGGUCCUUCUCCCUUUUGUUCGAUUAUUCUUGACAACAAGAAUAAAAAAGAAAAGAAAGGAAGGAGAGCGAAGAAAGAAACGAUCGACAAAACAAAUUGCAUCUUCGCGAGGAUUUUUGCCCGUGGAUUAAUGGGAAGUCGGAGUCGCUUUGAAGCGAUGGUACAUCGCUCGAAACAUCGAAGAGCAAGAAUCUUCAAUUAUUAAUAAAUUGAGGCCAGCCGCGUUCCUACGCCCUGUCCCCCGCGAUAUUUUUCCCUCCGUCAGCGAGACACAAGUGCCCUCCAUAAAUGUCCACGAUGUAAAUAAGUCGUUCAUCGCGUCUGAGAAGAGGCGAAAGAGUCUACGUUCCGCGGACUUUAUUUCUUCAAUCAGUUUUAAUUUCGACGUUCGAACGACGGUUGGCCAGUCUCGUUUCUCUCGAAAGUCAACGUUUCAACAAUGUCUUUUCUCGAUUCGCGUUAAGAGAGUUUGCAUACUGGCGCACGUGGGUGUACAACUGCGAGAUACCACGUAUAGAUGUAACGUUUUUCCACGCGACGCCGGAGACUUUAACGCUUGACCUCGGCGUACCGAAAAUUUUCCCCUCGUUCCAAUUUUUACGGUAAACCGGACUUUUGAAACGGCGCGAAUGUGAUCGAGAAAGCAGAUCGAAGGGCGCGAUCAUUGUCAUUACCGAUGCAGGAAAAAUGAUAAAUAGCUCGCCGUGUAAUCCAUAUUAUUCUAUAUUUAACGUCUGAAAAGCGGAAAGCGUAACCGUUUUCUCUUACUUUUGACGUGCCACGUGCGUGUGGGGAAAAAAAAAAACGAAGUCGAAACGAUUCCUCGAACUCGAUUCCGUUCGUCGCUAUAAUGCAAAAUUAUAAAUUUCUUUCGAGCCGAAAUAUCGAAAUACUCCGAGGAAGAAGAACUCCAGUCGAUAUCUUCGCUUCGCGAGGGGUUGAAGCGGUGGCGAGGGGCUCGCGGGGGGAAAAGGAAGAGACGUAGAGUAGUAAGUACUUUACUUUUGAUCGAGCGACGAAAUAUGGCGCACGAUUCGUUGUUCGACGUAAGGGGCAUUCGCUCGCUACCAAGUUCAUUAGAAAAACGAGAUUACCGGCCUCUCUGCCUCUAGUUACGUAAUUCGAUCGAUAGUUCAGGCGUUUCCCGUUUCUGGCCGCCGCCGACGAGGAGAAGCAAAAGGGGCGACAGGGAAGAGGGAAGGAGGGGAGGGGGGGGGAGAGGUGCAGGGGGACAGAAAGACAGACGGUGAAACGAGAGAAACGAGAUGGAAGGGUAAAAAAGGAAUUUGCAACCGCGAUGAGAGAAGGUGUGGCCUUGGAAAAGAGAGAGAGAGAGAGAGGAGAGAGAGAGAGA